GGACACAACCCUGGAGAGACCCUACAUAAUUAUUAGGGCAUCGAAGAAGUAAUCUACUUAUGAAUAGUAAGUGGAGAAACUUUCAGAUAAAAGGACAGGGCAUAAGGA
rnacentral:ncRNA from 15 species